UACGUAGGGUGCGAGCGUUAAUCGGAAUUACUGGGCGUAAAGCGUGCGCAGGCGGUUCGUUAAGUCAGCUGUGAAAGCCCCGAGCUUAACUUGGGAAUUGCGGUUGAAACUGGCGGACUAGAAUCUGGCAGAGGGGGGUGGAAUUCCACGUGUAGCAGUGAAAUUCGUAGAUAUUCGGAAGAACACCAGUGGCGAAGGCGACACACUGGCUCACUACUGACGCUGAGGCGCGAAAGCGUGGGGAGCAAACAGG
rnacentral:rRNA from 1 species